rnacentral:rRNA from 1 species
UACGGGGGGUGCGAGCGUUGUCCGGAAUCACUGGGCGUAAAGGGCGCGUAGGUGGUUUGAUAAGGGUGUGGUGAAAGUCCGGGGCUCAACCCCGGAUCUGCCGUGCCGACUGUCAAACUCGAGGACUGUAGAGGCAGACGGAGUUCCGGGUGUAGCGGUGGAAUGCGUAGAGAUCCGGAGGAAGACCGGUGGCGAAGGCGGCAUCCUGGACCGAUACUGACGCUGAGGAGCGAAAGCCAGGGGAGCAAACGGGG